AUUUGUAUUGGUAUUUGCUAAUCAAAUGAAUAGUCAAAUAGCAAUGCUAACGAGGCCCGACAACUGUACAAGUGUAAAAUAUACUGUAUAAAGAAACCCAAGAAGUGGUUUUUCUUUAUCAUCUGUCACUCAAAAUAUGUUGUAUAUCUUUAUUGCGUGUAGCAACAACGACACAAUAAAGAUAUAUUACAACUCUAGUAACUCUGGCCUUGUUGUUUACAUAAGGUAUAAGUUUUACCUUAUCUAAAAAUCACUUGUUUUACCCUGACUGGCACUUAAAAUAGCAAGUGCUGAUCAUGGUUCAACCUGCUGCAUAACGAUUUUUCGCCCGGGCGCGUUAGACUGUCGAAAAUAGGGAAAACGUUCAUUGCUAAACACGGGUGCGGAGUUUUCCCUUUCAGGCUAACUCUUCUUUUGUCAGCACUGGCUUACCUGAUGCUGUAGCAGAUGCCUUUCACGUUUGCGCUGGGUUUGAGUGGUUGGUUUACGGUCUUAAAGCACUUCACGCCUUGAAAUGUCUACAAACGAAAAGCUUUUAAAACAAAAGAUGACAGGAGGCAACAAAGAAUUGGAACUUUGACUCAUGCAUGAGCUGCUCUUCCUUUGGGUCUAAAGUACAACCAAACUAAAGGGUAUCGGUUCUAUUAAGUAUGAAAGAAUGAAGACGUUUUCGGAGCCUGUGUUGCUUAGCUUCCUUUAUUUGCUGGUUGUCUCUCAGUCUAGCCACUGGUCAGAGUAGCUUCGCCAUCUUGUUUGACGCAGGAUCCAGCGGCCUACAAGUUCCUUACCAGCGAUCCUUCCCUCCAACCUUCUGACGUUGUCCAGAUUGAUACCUCACCACAUAAAAUGAAGCCUGGAAUUUCUGACCUUUCUGUUGACCCGACUUAAGUUGAAGCUUACAUGAAUCCUCUACUUGGAUCUACUAAGCUAACCAUCCUAGAGGACAAACACGUAUCCACCCCGAUAUUUUUGUUAGCAACAGCAGGCAUGAGACGCUUGCCUGAAGAUCAGGCAAAUGUUAUUUUAGGCGAGGUUAGGAAACUGUUAACGACAAAGAGAAAUGUCCAUUUCUGUUUCAGAACGAUGAUAAUGGCUAGAAUCACCGCUGGUCAGGUCGAAGGCAUUUAUGGUUGGGUUACAGUAACUUUUAUUUUGGGUGUUUUCGCUUUAAAAGAUUCUGCAUCGUAUGGUAGUUAAGAAAUGGAAGGAGCAUCCUACCAAAAUUCUCAGUAAAGUGACAAAGUAACCCUGUUGUUAUUGUUUUUGACGUGGCUGGGAAAAAAUAAGGGGGGUUUUUAAGUUAGAUAUAAUUACCUUGGCUACGGAAUAGACCAAGUUUUGGCUUUUUAUCGUGUUUAACAGAUAUAGGCGCCGUUUGUUCUGACAAAUUCUUCGUACAAUAGAUAAUGAGAAGCUUCAAAUGCAUCACCUUGAGAGCCAGAAUAUGUCUUAAGAAUAA